rnacentral:rRNA from 1 species
ACAUCCAGCGAACUUGGCAGAGAUGCCUUGGUGCCUUCGGGAACGCUGAGACAGGCGCUGCAUGGCUGUCGUCAGCUCGUGUUGUGAAAUGUUGGGUUAAGUCCCGNAACGAGCGCAACCCUUAUCCUUUGUUGCCAGCGAUUCGGUCGGGAACUCAAAGGAGACUGCCGGUGAUAAACCGGAGGAAGGUGGGGAUGACGUCAAGUCAUCAUGGCCCUUACGAGUAGGGCUACACACGUGCUACAAUGGCGCAUACAAAGAGAAGCGACCUCGCGAGAGCAAGCGGACCUCAUAAAGUGCGUCGUAGUCCGGAUCGGAGUCUGCAACUCGACUCCGUGAAGUCGGAAUCGCUAGUAAUCGUGGAUCAGAAUGCCACGGUGAAUACGUUCCCGGGCCUUGUACACACCGCCCGUCACACCAUGGGAGUGGGUUGCAAAAGAAGUAGGUAGCUUAACCUUCGGGAGGGCGCUUACCACUUUGUGAUUCAUGACUGGGGUGAAGUCGUAACAAGGUAGGCGUAGCGAG